rnacentral:rRNA from 1 species
GACGAACCGAGCGAACGUUAUUCGGAAUCACUGGGCUUAAAGGGCGCGUAGGCGGGCGGCCAAGUCAGGGGUGAAAGCCCCCAACUCAACUGGGGAAGUGCCUUUGAUACUGGUCAUCUCGAGGGAGAUAGGGGCGUGCGGAACUUCCGGUGGAGCGGUGAAAUGCGUAGAUAUCGGAAGGAACACCGGUGGCGAAAGCGGCGCGCUGGAUCUCUUCUGACGCUGAGGCGCGAAAGCCAGGGGAGCGAACGGG